GACGAACGCUGGCGGCGCGCCUAAUACAUGCAAGUCGGGCGGGGGAACGGGCGGAAGCCUUCGGGCGGAAGCCCGGGCCCCAGCGGCGGACGGGUGAGUAACACGUGGGUAACCUGCCUGUCAGACCGGGAUAACACUGGGAAACCGGUGCUAAUACCGGAUACGCUCUUCCGGGCGCAUGCCUGGGGGAGGAAAGGCGCUACGGCGCCACUGACAGAUGGGCCUGCGGCGCAUUAGCUAGUUGGUGAGGUAACGGCUCACCAAGGCGACGAUGCGUAGCCGACCUGAGAGGGUGGCCGGCCACACUGGGACUGAGACACGGCCCAGACUCCUACGGGAGGCAGCAGUAGGGAAUCUUCCGCAAUGGGCGAAAGCCUGACGGAGCGACGCCGCGUGAGCGAGGAAGGUCUUCGGACUGUAAAGCUCUGUUGUGAGGGAAGAACGCCCUGGAGAGGGAAUGCUCUGGGGGUGACGGUACCUCACGAGGAAGCCCCGGCUAACUAC
rnacentral:rRNA from 1 species